UACGUAGGGGGCAAGCGUUGUCCGGAAUCAUUGGGCGUAAAGAGCGUGUAGGCGGCUCGGUAAGUCCGCUGUGAAAGUCCAGGGCUCAACCCUGGAAUGCCGGUGGAAACUGUCGGGCUAGAGUCCGGAAGAGGCGAGUGGAAUUCCUGGUGUAGCGGUGAAAUGCGUAGAUAUCAGGAGGAAUACCGGUGGUGUAGACGGCUCUCUGGACCGCGACUGACGCUGAGACACGAAAGCGUGGGUAGCAAACAGG
rnacentral:rRNA from 1 species